rnacentral:lncRNA from 12 species
GCGGCCGCCAGGAACGUGAACCCCAAGUCUCCCAUCACUGAGCUCCUAGAGCAGAACGGAGGCUAUGGGAACGCUGUCCCUUCCCGAGGGCCACCCCCUCCUGGGGGCUCCAGCAGCGGCUACAGCGGAGGCCUGGCGCUGGCCGAGUACGACCAGCCCUACGGCGGGCUCCUGGACAUCCUGCGGGGGGGCACGGAGCGCCUCUUCACAAACCUCAAGGACACCUCCUCCAAGGUCAUCCAGUCUGUUGCCAAGCUUCCUCGCCUCAUCCUCGUCCUGCUGUUUGGCGCUCUGGUCUUUGUUUUCUGUGCACCCGGUUGAUAGCACGGGUAGAGCCACGCACAGGCGGCGAGGAGUGUGUGGCCGUUGGGCUGUGUUGGGCCGUGUGGCACCGCGUGCUCUGUAUCUCAUGCGACUCUACGGAGGAGAGGACACUGGGCUUCCGCUGGCUGUCUCAGCACACGGGGCGUCUGCCCACAUCGCCGUGACCCUCUGCGACAUCCCGGGCCACAGCUUGUCACGGGGCGUGUCUGCGCGUCCAGGGCGGGCGCUCCAGCAUCCUGUGUCCACGUUGGCAGUGGCCAGGACAGGCUGGGCUGCCAGCGACCUGGACUGGGCUGCCGUGUGCAUGUGCUUCCUCGCCCACGUGUGGCGAUGCCGUGUUGUGGGCCGCUGUGCCUGCUGCACCCCCCGGGCCGCUGUUCCCCGUACCUGGUGCCGACGGCAGGGUUGUCAGGGCAGGCCACGGGUCGCACGUCUCCACUUGGGUCCUGCCCCUCCUGCCAGCACAUGAUGCCACGGGGUCUCGGGGUGGGCUUCUGGGACUGGAGGGCUCUGGAGCGGCAGCUGCUGGGGGUGAUGAGUAGAUCGUGGACGUGCAAGGAGCUGCUCAGCCCGGCUCUCAGGAAACCACAGUGACCUGGUGAGACCCCUUCCUCACCGGGUCUCAUGGCUUCUCGGCAGACCGUGGCCACGCUGAUGCGGUGCUGGCCUCAGCUUCCAGAUUCUGGGGUGGACGCGGGGGAGGGGGCCCACAGCAUCUGGUGCAGCCGCGGUGCUGGAGCCCCCACUGGGUGCCUGCGCGUCUGUUCAAACUUUUGAAUGUGGUUUCCACAAACAGGAGUGUGACACUGUCUCUGGUAGGGGCUGGAGAGGGCAGUGGUGUGCUCCUGGGCUUAGCCGGCUUAGGACCGGCUGGACCCCACGGGGCAUGUUGACGUGAAGACCUGACCCUGGCAGCCCUCCUCAGGCUGAGAGCACAGCCAGGGUCCCAGUGGUGACACGGGCGAGGCGGCCUGGGGAUCCGUUGGAUGGUGGGUCCCACCCCUCGGGGCAGGGCCUCCGGCAGGUCUUACAUGAUAACAAGACCAGAGCUUGAAAAGCAUAGAAAAGCUGUCACCUGGCGGCGUCAGGAUUGAUGGUUUCUUAAACAAGAAAUGAUACGUGUCAGGGUCCCAGGACCACUCCCAGGGUUGGAGGUUUGCCGGAGUCCUCCUGUGCCCCAGACUUGGCACAGGGCCGUCCUCGGGGUGGGGGUUUGCCUCAGAACACGGGGAAAAGGCGCUGGUGGAGUCUGAGGAACCUGGCACGACUUUCCGUCUUCCAUCUCCGUGGAGUCGUGUGGGACGCGUGUCACUCAGGGGAGCCCCCCAGAGACCCAGCACCGGGGGUUGGGGUCCGCAGGGCACGCAACAGGCGCCAGACUCGUACCAGGUCUGGGAGGAGCGGGGAGCCUCCCGAAGUCGCUGGACCGCAGCCGCGGAGCCGCCUGGCCAGCAGGCCUCUGUGCGUUCGCAGUUAGGCCCACGUGACUGUCUCUUGUCGGGCUUCUUGCUUCCAACGUGAUUCAGCGAGAGUGUCCGAGACACGCAAGCAUGCAGGCCGGAGGGGAAACGUCCCCAGUACCGACAGGUUCUCGGCGAGCCUACCCAGAGCCCUCGGGGGUAUCGGACGGGGGACGGCAGGACACGUGGGUCCCAGCCCUGUUCUCCGCCGUGGCCAGCAGCCGUGACGUUCACGCUCGUAUGCCUGGCAGCCGUGCUGCCGAGGGGCCGCCCCAGGCCUGGGUGGGGGUGGCCUUGCUCACGGCUGACGGGCUCUCGGGGCGCCGAGCAGCCCUCCGUGAUGCCGGCAGAGACUCGGGGGUCCUGGGAGGCCCGUCGGCCCCUCACUGCCUCCUGGGUGUGGGAACACGCCUUCCGUGCGCUCGUCCCGGGGCCAGAACGCAGGCCUUUGGCGGCCGCCCCCACCCAAGCACACCCCGAGUCCCCGACUUCGCCUGUCGGGCUGUGGUGUUCACGUCAUUCCGCCCACGCCCCACGCAGGACAGAGCGGCCAGGGCCUGUGGACGGCACCUCUGGACGCCGCUGUUUCUGUGGCCUGUCUGUUCUAAACCUUUGCUCUUUUUUGGAGUUUUUGUUUACCGAUACUAUAUUUUGUUGUGUAUUCUGUGUGUUCAUUGCUUUUGUAAAAAAGUAAACAUGGGCAAACCCUUCGUCUGAUGCUCACGUUGUUUGUCCUGCGGUGGGCUUGUUUGUUUUAUGAGUGUGUGGGUGUGCGCGGGGCUGGGGGUGGGGGCGGCACAGAGAGAACCCCUGGCGGUCCCCCCACCCCCCUCCCCCUGCAGCGCAGGGCCCCGCGGGGGCCGGAACCCGGAUGCCCAUCGGCGUGAGCCCCCCCCGGCGCCCUGUCCUGAGGGGUUUCAGCUAAAGCUCAGGGAGCCCGUCCUCCCCUUAGGUCUUGUUCAGGGAGUUUCCCGUGGCCCAGGUUUUGAGCAUAUUUUAGGUGUGUUUUAAAACAGUUAUUUAAAUGUUUAAAUGUGUUGUAAACAUCUGUUUAAUGGUUUUAUUGCCGUCCGUUUGGGUGUGUAAUCCACUCGGAGCUGACGUGGGGGCUGUUUCUCGCCAUCUCCCCCGCCAGGAGCAGCCUGGCGCCGAUGGCCACAGGCGGGCGGCCUUCCAGUUCCUUUCCCAGGCCUCCUGCCCUGCCCAGUGCCCGGCCUCAGCCCCUGCCACUGCCGGCCCUUCUCCCUGUCCUGCCUGCCCAGGAACACUGGCUGUUCUUACACCGGUUUCUUUGAGUGGUUUCUAGAAUAAACUUGUCAAGCUGCCUGAACGAUUCCUUAGG